UCCCUGGUAGUAUAUCGGCUAGUACACGCGCCUGUCAUUAUGACUUUACUGGAAAUUAAAAUCGCGCGAAAGCUGGGUUCGACUCCCAGCCAGGGAG